AGCAGCCGCGGUAAUUCCAGCUCCAAUAGCGUAUAUUAAAGUUGUUGCAGUUAAAAAGCUCGUAGUUGAAUUUCGGGAUCAAUACGUCGGUCGUGCUUCGGUACGUACUGGCGUCAUUGAUUUCUCCCUUCUGACGAACCAUGAUGUCAUUAACUUGGUGUCAUGGGAAAUCAGGACUGUUACUUUGAAAAAAUUAGAGUGUUUAAAGCAGGCUCACGCUUGAAUACAUUAGCAUGGAAUAAUGAAAUAGGACGUUCGAUCCUAUUUUGUUGGUUUUAGGAUCAACGUAAUGAUUAAUAGGGAUAGUUGGGGCAUUAGUAUUCAAUUGUCAGAGGUGAAAUUCUUGGAUUUAUUGAAGACUAACUACUGCGAAAGCAUUUGCCAAGGAUGUUUUCAUUAAUCAAGAACGAAAGUUAGGGGAUCGAAGACGAUCAGAUACCGUCGUAGUCUUAACCAUAAACUAUGCCGACUAGGGAUCGGAUGAUGUUAAUUUUUUAAUGACUCAUUCGGCGCCUUACGG
rnacentral:rRNA from 1 species